UGGGGAAUAUUGCACAAUGGGGGAAACCCUGAUGCAGCGACGCCGCGUGGAGGAAGAAGGUCUUCGGAUUGUAAACUCCUGUUGUCGGGGACGAUAAUGACGGUACCCGACAAGAAAGUGACGGCUAACUACGUGCCAGCAGCCGCGGUAAAACGUAGGUCACAAGCGUUGUCCGGAAUUACUGGGUGUAAAGGGAGCGCAGGCGGGGAUGCAAGUUGGAAGUGAAAUCUACGGGCUCAACUCGUAAACUGCUUUCAAAACUGCAUCUCUUGAGUAGUGCAGAGGUAGGCGGAAUUCCCGGUGUAGCGGUGGAAUGCGUAGAUAUCGGGAGGAACACCAGUGGCGAAGGCGGCCUACUGGGCACCAACUGACGCUGAGGCUCGAAAGUAUGGGUAGCAAACAGG
rnacentral:rRNA from 1 species